rnacentral:rRNA from 1 species
UAGCUAGUUGGUGAGGUAAAGGCUUACCAAGGCGACGAUCUGUAGCGGUCUGAGAGGAUGAUCCGCCACACUGGAACUGAGACACGGUCCAGACUCCUACGGGAGGCAGCAGUGGGGAAUUUUGGACAAUGGGGGCAACCCUGAUCCAGCCAUGCCGCGUGAGUGAAGAAGGCCUUCGGGUUGUAAAGCUCUUUCGGCCGGGAAGAAAUCGCAUGGGCCAAUACCCUGUGUGGAUGACGGUACCGGAAUAAGAAGCACCGGCUAACUACGUGCCAGCAGCCGCGGUAAUACGUAGGGUGCGAGCGUUAAUCGGAAUUACUGGGCGUAAAGCGUGCGCAGGCGGUUUUGUAAGACAGGCGUGAAAUCCCCGGGCUUAACCUGGGAACUGCGUUUGUGACUGCAAGGCUAGAGUACGGCAGAGGGGGGUGGAAUUCCACGUGUAGCAGUGAAAUGCGUAGAGAUGUGGAGGAACACCAAUGGCGAAGGCAGCCCCCUGGGUCGAUACUGACGCUCAUGCACGAAAGCGUGGGUAGCAAACAGGAUUAGAUACCCUGGUAGUCCACGCCCUAAACUAUGUCAACUAGGUGUUGGGUGGGUAAAACCAUUUAGUACCGUAGCUAACGCGUGAAGUUGACCGCCUGGGGAGUACGGCCGCAAGGUUAAAACUCAAAGGAAUUGACGGGGACCCGCACAAGCGGUGGAUGAUGUGGAUUAAUUCGAUGCAACGCGAAAAACCUUACCUACCCUUGACAUGCCAGGAACUUGCCAGAGAUGGCUUGGUGCCCGAAAGGGAGCCUGGACACAGGUGCUGCAUGGCUGUCGUCAGCUCGUGUCGUGAGAUGUUGGGUUAAGUCCCGCAACGAGCGCAACCCUUGUCGUUAAUUGCCAUCAUUUAGUUGGGCACUUUAACGGGACUGCCGGUGACAAACCGGAGGAAGGUGGGGAUGACGUCAAGUCCUCAUGGCCCUUAUGGGUAGGGCUUCACACGUCAUACAAUGGUCGGUACAAAGGGUUGCCAAGCCGCGAGGCGGAGCCAAUCCCAGAAAGCCGAUCGUAGUCCGGAUUGCAGGCUGCAACUUGCCUGCAUGAAGUCGGAAUCGCUAGUAAUCGUGGAUCAGCAUGUCACGGUGAAUACGUUCCCGGGUCUUGUACACACCGCCCGUCACACCAUGGGAGCGGGUUCCGCCAGAAGUAGGUAGCCUAACCGCAAGGGGGGCGCUUACCACGGCGGGGUUCGUGACUGGGGUGAAGUCGUAACAAGGUAGCCGUAGGAACCUGCGGCUG